rnacentral:rRNA from 1 species
AUUGAACGCUGGCGGCAUGCUUUACACAUGCAAGUCGAACGGUAACAGGUUAAGCUGACGAGUGGCGAACGGGUGAGUAAUGCAUCGGAACGUACCUAGUCGUGGGGGAUAACGUAGCGAAAGUUACGCUAAUACCGCAUACGUCCUACGGGAGAAAGCAGGGGAUCGCAAGACCUUGCGCGAUUGGAGCGGCCGAUGUCUGAUUAGCUAGUUGGUGGGGUAAAGGCUCACCAAGGCGACGAUCAGUAGCGGGUCUGAGAGGAUGAUCCGCCACGCUGGGACUGAGACACGGCCCAGACUCCUACGGGAGGCAGCAGUGGGGAAUUUUGGACAAUGGGGGCAACCCUGAUCCAGCCAUUCCGCGUGAGUGAAGAAGGCCUUCGGGUUGUAAAGCUCUUUCGGCAGGAACGAAACGGCGGGCUCUAACAUAGCCUGUUAAUGACGGUACCUGAAGAAGAAGCACCGGCUAACUACGUGCCAGCCGCCGCGGUAACAC